UACGUAGGGUGCAAGCGUUGUCCGGAAUUAUUGGGCGUAAAGAGCUCGUAGGCGGCUUGUCACGUCUGCUGUGAAAACUCGGGGCUUAACCCCGGGCCUGCAGUGGGUACGGGCAGACUAGAGUGCGGUAGGGGAGACUGGAAUUCCUGGUGUAGCGGUGAAAUGCGCAGAUAUCAGGAGGAACACCGGUGGCGAAGGCGGGUCUCUGGGCCGUAACUGACGCUGAGGAGCGAAAGCGUGGGGAGCGAACAGG
rnacentral:rRNA from 1 species